CUUAUAGCAGUUAGUUUAUGGGAGAAGAUUGAAUCUAUUGCCAAAUUCUAAUGGCGACAGCGGAAUUAAGAGAGAAAAAUGCAAAUGCUCCAACUUUCCAAUAUAAAGAUGUGGUUUUCAUAUGGAAUCAAUCCUGCUUUUGAUUCAAGACUGUCCUAUAUCCAAGGAUGUGUGUGUGGUGCGCUUGCAUACAAAACAGCAGGGACACGAAGAUGUGGACGAGCCGCCAGAUUAUUACUCUUCAUGAAGUUCAUACUCAGUUGAAGGCGUAAUGUUGGCGUGGACUUUAUGGCAUGCCAGAAAUCUCCAUCUCUUUAUUUCAGGAACGAAUGCUAACUGCAAAUUCUAUCUUGAAAAUUGCAUCCGCUACCUUAAGCAGGUAUCAGGAAGCAAUACUUGAACCAUCAAUGGUCUAGCCUCGCAACCAAGGGGCGUCAAUGUGGCAACCACCAGCUGAAUCCUCCGAGAAAAUCAACACAGAUUCGACGCUUUGCCCUACAGGUUGUGGCUUAGGUCUUGUUAUUCGAGAUUAUGAGGGACGAGUCCUGCUGAGUGCUCACAAACGUCUUCUUCCUCAGUCGUCUAUUCUGUUUAGGGGCAGCACAAGCUAACAUGGCUAGACUAGAGGAACUUGAAGUCAUUAUUAUGGCGGACGUUACCAUUGAAAAUUUGUUUAACUAACAUAAUUUAAAUAUAUUAGGUGAAUGGGAAAUUAAUUUUAAAAAGAUUUUUAGUUUUUUUAAAAGAAUUUUUAGUUUUUUUAGAUUUAUUUUUUUAUUUAUGGUAGUUAAUUAAUUGAUAAUGAAGAAAAUUAAUUCUGAUUUAUUA